rnacentral:rRNA from 1 species
AUUGAACGCUGGCGGCAUGCUUUACACAUGCAAGUCGAACGGUAACAGGCCUUCGGGUGCUGACGAGUGGCGAACGGGUGAGUAAUGCAUCGGAACGUACCCAGAGGUGGGGGAUAACGCAGCGAAAGCUGUGCUAAUACCGCAUGUGAUCUGAGGAUGAAAGCGGGGGACCGAGCAGCAAUGUUUGGCCUCGCGCCUUUGGAGCGGCCGAUGUCGGAUUAGCUAGUUGGUGGGGUAAAGGCCUACCAAGGCGACGAUCCGUAGCUGGUCUGAGAGGACGACCAGCCACACUGGGACUGAGACACGGCCCAGACUCCUACGGGAGGCAGCAGUGGGGAAUUUUGGACAAUGGGCGCAAGCCUGAUCCAGCAAUGCCGCGUGCGGGAAAAAGGCCUUCGGGUUGUAAACCGCUUUUGGCAGGAACGAAACGGUGUCCGCUAAUACCGGGCGCUAAUGACGGUACCUGCAGAAUAAGCACCGGCUAACUACGUG